GACAGAGGGGGCAAGCGUUGCUCGGAAUCACUGGGCGUAAAGGGCGCGUAGGCGGGAUGGCAAGUCGGUCGUGAAAUCCUUCGGCUCAACCGAAGAACGUCGGCCGAUACUGCCGUUCUUGAGGGAUGCAGAGGAGAUUGGAAUUCCCGGUGUAGCGGUGAAAUGUGUAGAGAUCGGGAGGAAGCACCGGUGGGCGAAGGCGGGUCUGCUGGGCGAUCUCCUGACGCUGAGGCGACCGAAAGGCGUGGGGGAGCAAAACAGGG
rnacentral:rRNA from 1 species